rnacentral:lncRNA from 1 species
CACCGCGCGCCGCCCGCCCGGAGACCCUUCGCCUGCAAGCACUGCGGCAGGGAGUACGCCAGCCUGGGCGCCCUCAAGAUGCACAUCCGCACCCACACGCUGCCCUGCCUCUGCAAGAUCUGCGGGAAGGCCUUCUCCCGGCCCUGGCUGCUGCAGGGCCACAUCCGCACGCACACAGGCGAGAAGCCCUACAGCUGCUCCCACUGCAGCCGCGCCUUCGCCGACCGCUCCAACCUGCGCGCCCACCUCCAGACCCACUCGGACGUCAAGAAGUACCAGUGCCGGGCCUGCACCAAGACCUUCUCCCGCAUGUCCCUGCUGGCGCGGCACGAAGAGGCCGGCUGCUGCCCGGCAUCCUGACGUGCCCGCCCGGGGCUGCUCCCCGCAGCCGGGGACAGAGCAACCGGCUCCCUGCCAGGCCCUCGAGGGCAAGGCCCGUUCGAUGGGCUUCUUCAGCCACAUGCACGGGGGAGGCCUGGCGGUCCUGCCCGGCACCCACAUCGCAGCCGGAUGGGGGGGCAUCUGUGGGUGCCCAAGGACGGGGCUUCGAACGCCGUCCAGCGAGCUGCGCGCCAGGACACAUCGCUUCUCCUGGCAGGACUGCGAUCGCCGCUCUCGCCCUGUGCCUUGCAGCCGGCUCGAUGGGCCUGGCGCCUGCCCGUCCAGCUCAGCGGGGCGGCCUGAGCCUGGUGCCGCUUGUAAGGACCGCGCGCCAGGGACUCUGCUCUCCUUGUCCAGGCCGGGCGGUGGGAUGCUGCGUGGUGCUGGGGGAUCGGUGCACUCCCUGCCUGGGCGCUGCCCCCUCGCUGGAGAGCUCCUCUAGCCCCUGCCCAGGUGCCCUCCUGGCAUUUAAUAAAAGCAAUAAACUCUGGAGCGUGCUUGGGGCUAGCUCAUCCGGCUGUGGGGUGGGGGUGACGUCUGGCUGCAGGAAGGGGUGUCAAGCCCCAGCCCCCCGCACCAGCCUGCUCUGUGUGCACCGGGCAGCGUGCGCCCCACAUCCCAACCCCUCCUUGGGGCAAGACAACCCAGGAGACGGAGCUCCCCGGGCAGCCAGGCCUCAGCUGCAGGGCGAGGUCUGAGCACGAAGGAGCUGGAGAGUGGGCAGCAGAUGCCGGCAGGGGAGACCCCGCAAUGAUGGCUUUGACCCAGGGGAGCUGGCAGGAGGGAUCCCCUGGUCCUCGGGCUUGGAUGAGUCGCUGUGGCUGAGGGUGGAGACCUGUCCCUUGCAUGGCGGGCGAGUCUGUAAAUGCCUCCCGCCGCAAGGAUCUCGGCUACGUCAUGACGAGGGAGAUUUGCUCUUGGGCUUCCCCUUUCCCUUGCUCCGUUCAGCUUUUUGGCUCAGGGCAUCUAACCCCGAGGCCUCCGGGCUUGCCCAUAGGAUGCCUACCGUGGAUGUGGGAGUAUGUGAAGCCCCAGGCAGAAGAGUCUGGGAUGGAGGAGACUUGCCGGGGUGGUAGUGCCACGCAGACGGGAGCGAUUGAGCUCUGCUCAGUCGAGCGAAUUUGGAUGGAUUUGGCCCCAGACACACAACUUCAGAAAAACCCAAAACUGCUGAAGGGGUCAGAAGCAUAGCAGCAGUAGUGGCGUUAGGGGAGGGCAAACCGCAUGACUGCCCAGGGCUCCACACUUUAGGGGGCUCCAAAAUUUUGCAACAAUUUGUUUUUGGGGGUGAAGUUACUAAAAACUUUGUUCUUUCUUCAACUUAUGAACAAAUUUCAUGGAUAGGGCAAAGUGAAAUUGAAAACGUCCGACUUGCUUAUGGGUCGUCAAAGUUAAGCGUCCCUAAAUGACGCUCUUCAACGGGAGCCCCAGCCACCCUAAGGCCACCGCUGAUAGCAGGGGAGGGGGGAGGCACCGGGCCGUGGGCAUCCCCUGCACCAACGUGGCCUCUGGAGAGGCCUCCUGGCUGUCCGAGCAGCACGCUCUCGGCGCCCCGUCCUAAAAUCCCCUUCCCGGGGUCCCCUGCGCUAAGGCUGGUGGUCCCCCCAGAGCGGUACCAUCAUAGCGGGCAGGAAGCAGAGGGCCUGGCCCCUGGCUCCCUCCAUG